AUGGAGGAGGCGUUCGACAUGUACCGGCAGUCGGUGAUCGGCGUGGCCCUCAUCGAGACGCUAGACAAGAUGGUGGCCAGCGACAUGCACAACCCCGAGCUCGCCAUGGCCGUCGUCGUGCAGUUCGACAAGGUCGCCCCUUCCCUUCCCUUCCACAUGCUACCACUACACUGCUUCCUCUCCCAAACUCACCGAUCAACAACGAGCAUCUAUCUAGGUGGUGUUUUGAUCCUCGUAAUUGUUGUUGUUUCAGUCCAUCUGCCAUGUGUUGGACAAGCAUGUCACUUAAUCAUAAAGUAA
rnacentral:rRNA from 1 species